AGAGACUCCACUUAAGAAGAUGGAUACAGAAAUGCAGUAGUGCAGUUCAAUUUUGGAUUUUGCCUUUGUUGUAAUUUGGUUUAUACCUUUGAAUAACUUUGGAUCCAAGUAGAAGCUGAAGGUGCUCCACAAUCUCCCGACUCCUGAAUGUGUGACUUUGCUGUUGUUAACCCAGGGCACUGAAGGUGAGUCCAUAUCUGACUUCUAAUCAAAACCAAAUCUGCUUCACCUUCACUGUGAUAAGCCUGGAUUUUGACUUUGUGUGAGCUCCACAGUGAUUUGUGAGUGAUACACAGAAUGAGAAAUCCUUUUUCCAAAGGGCAGGCAGAGCUCAGAUAUUUGCUCAGCUUGGUAGAUUUACUUAAAUUUCAAACAGCCAGGAAGAAUAUCAACUGAGAAACUAUUACUAUUGAAAAGAUAUUUCAGAAAACAUUGAAAUAAAUGUGUUAAAAGGCUCUGACUUAGCAGCUGGGGAUACACCUACUUAUAUAGAGACACAUAAAUCUCCUUUCCUGCCCAAAAAAACAAUAAAAAAAAUUGCAUGGCAGUUCUAGGGCAUCACCUGGAUUCAUCUGAGUCUCCCAGGUUUGAAUCAUGCCAGAUUAAAUUUAUGUACAAACAUGUUCCUGUAGUAAGGAGAUCUGUGUGUCCUCCCAGACACAAUGUGAGAUUCAGUAUAGUAAUAAAUUGGCUUGAUGAGCAGGUGUGAGCCAUCCCUACUUUAGUUUUACAACCCUGUCAGCUCUACAGUGACAAACACCUCAGAACCAGGUUUGUUUUGGUCAGUUUUCCCCCAAAAUAUUCAGUCAGCCUCCAUUUUUUUUCCCUCAUGGCACUGUUUGAACUGCAGGAGCAGCCAACAAACCUGUGGGGGGGUUCCCCUCCAGCACUGGGAGGAAUCAGAGUGGAGUGAUGGCUGAUUUCACCCUGAGCUGCUCCACAGGAACAGAUUUUAGCCAA